UACGGGGGGAGCAAGCGUUGUUCGGAUUUACUGGGCGUAAAGGGCGCGUAGGCGGCCAGUGCAAGUCAGUUGUGAAAUCUCCGAGCUUAACUCGGAAAGGUCAACUGAUACUGCUCGGCUAGAGUACGGAAGGGGCAACUGGAAUUCUCGGUGUAGCGGUGAAAUGCGUAGAUAUCGAGAGGAACACCUGCGGCGAAGGCGGGUUGCUGGGCUGAUACUGACGCUGAGGCGCGAAAGGC
rnacentral:rRNA from 1 species